rnacentral:rRNA from 1 species
GACGGAGGGUGCUAGCGUUGUUCGGAAUCACUGGGCGUAAAGGGCGCGUAGGCGGCCUUGCAAGUCGGUUGGUGAAAGCCCGGGGCUCAACCCCGGAGGUGCGGCCGAGACUGCAGGGCUGGAGGCCGGAAGAGGAGGGUGGAAUACCCAGUGUAGAGGUGAAAUUCGUAGAUAUUCGGAAGAACACCAGUGGCGAAGGCGACUUACUGGACACAUAUUGACGCUGAGGUGCGAAAGCGUGGGGAGCAAACAGG